rnacentral:rRNA from 1 species
GACGAACGCUGGCGGCGUGCUUAACACAUGCAAGUCGAACGAUGAAGCCGGAGCUUGCUCUGGUGAAUUAGUGGCGAACGGGUGAGUAACACGUGAGUAACCUGCCCUUGACUCUGGGAUAACUGCGGGAAACUGUAGCUAAUACCGGAUACGACCCUCGGAGGCAUCUCCUGGGGGUGGAAAGAAUUUCGGUCAAGGAUGGACUCGCGGCCUAUCAGCUAGUUGGUGAGGUAAAGGCUCACCAAGGCGACGACGGGUAGCCGGCCUGAGAGGGGGACCCGCCACACUGGGACUGAGACACGGCCCAGAGUCCUACGGGAGGCAGCAGUGGGGAAUAUUGCACAAUGGGCGCAAGCCUGAUGCAGCAACGCCGCGUGAGGGAUGACGGCCUUCGGGUUGUAAACCUCUUUUAGUAGGGAAGAAGCGAAAGUGACGGUACCUGCAGAAAAAGCACCGGCUAACUACGUGCCAGCCGCCGCUGUAA